CUUGCCAGUCAGUUUGUUACAUCCCUCAAAUUCCUGUGGGACACUUUUAAGGCAAAGCCCAGCAACAUGGAAGAAUUGGAAGCUAAUUCCUCAACUCCGAAGCCUCCUCUACUUGAAAAUUACGAAGGGGACAAUCGCGGUCCUUCGCGAGACAAUGCGUGCGCAAAAGCGAAGCAACGGCCAGAACUUGGUCGGCCAAAAGCUCCGAAACAUGUUCCUCCGAGACCUGAUGAAUUGUGCUCCGUCGAAUUAGAAGCCAAACUUUACUGAAAUCCUGGAGCUGAUCAACAAGUUGAGUCGUGACAAACUUCAGAUUACCGAAAAAUUAGAUCAAGUGAUGUUUGAAAGGACAGAAAUUGUCCACGCAUUAGAAGAGCUGAAUUAUGAUGAAAGGAGA